rnacentral:rRNA from 1 species
UACAGAGGUCUCGAGCGUUGUUCGGAUUCAUUGGGCGUAAAGGGUGCGUAGGUGGCGCCGUAAGUCGGGUGUGAAAUUUCGGAGCUUAACUCCGAAACUGCAUUCGAUACUGCGGUGCUUGAGGACUGGAGAGGAGACUGGAAUUCAUGGUGUAGCAGUGAAAUGCGUAGAGAUCAUGAGGAAGACCAGUGGCGAAGGCGGGUCUCUGGACAGCAACUGACGCUGAGGCACGAAGGCCAGGGGAGCAAACGGG